rnacentral:ribozyme from 1 species
GCCAUCCUGAUAUGCUGCCUCUACGUGGCGGAUGGCAGGCAACGGGAUUCUCUCCCGGCUAAAGCAUAU